UGAGUUUGAUUCUGGCUCAGGAUGAACGCUGGCGGUCUGCUUAACACAUGCAAGUCGAACGAACUCUUCGGAGUGAGUGGCGGACGGGUGAGUAACGCGUGAGAAUCUGCCUGUGGGUCGGGGACAACUACUGGAAACGGUGGCUAAUACCGGAUGAGCCGAAAGGUAAAAGAUUUAUUGCCCACAGAUGAGCUCGCGUCUGAUUAGCUAGUUGGUAAGGUAAAAGCGUACCAAGGCGACGAUCAGUAGCUGGUCUGAGAGGAUGAGCAGCCACACUGGGACUGAGACACGGCCC
rnacentral:rRNA from 1 species